GAGGCGUAGCUCAGUUGGUUAGAGUGCUUGCUUGACAUGCAAGAGGUCACAGGUUCGAUUCCUGUCGUCUCC
rnacentral:tRNA from 1 species